rnacentral:rRNA from 1 species
AUGGCCUUCAUGCGAGUUUUAUCCCUGAAGUGGACAGACGGCCUCACGCGUACAUACACUGGCCCUAUCAUCGACGACAACAUGGCGUUGAUAUCCGUGGCCGCGCGCAUUCUUGCUUUCCGGGACAUCACUGGUCCGCUGUUGUUGCCGGGCUACCAAAUGCUAAUACUAAUUCUUUUAUAUUUUGUUGGAUACUUUUCACAUUUCAAAGUACGUAGCCAUCCGAUCUGUGGCCGUGGCGACGCCGACGACAUCCACCAACUAUGUUGGCUCCGCACUUGCACCACGUACUGUUCAGUACUGCUCCAGCACUUCUGA